CAGAGAGUCAAAAUGGGCGCGCCGCUUAUCUCAAGACCACAACACAAAAACUCGGUUUGGAGUUGGUAGGACCUACGAAGUUAGUUCUAGAGAAAUGUGGUACAGAAGUGGACGACGAUGAGGUGUUGGAAGAAAUUGCUGAUGAAGUCUUACUAUUGUUGGCUGAUGGAGAAACUUAUACACCAUCUGUAGCUCAGCAAAUACCUGACUCUACUCGAAGUUUGGUAACAUGUACUACAGGCGAUGUACUUCAACCCAGCAGGAGUGCAAGUGACAACGAAAAGGCAAGCACAAGUUCAAGUGAGACAGAGGCAUAUGCCAGUCACAAAUCAUGUAACACAUUAUCAUUGCCUUUGCCAGAACUCUCACGGGCAACCCGAGAUGACUUACAACAGGGAGAUAAAUCAAGACGGGUCUGGUUGCAGCUGAUAGAAGAAUCCAAGAACUACUACAUGAAGUAUUGCCCUCUGCUUGAUGAAAACCCUUAAGCUACGGUUACACUAGCCACUGCUACCCCUGGGCCCAGCCUUGGGCCUGGGUUUACAAGGCAAGUGGUUUCACAUAGCCCAGCCCCAGUCCUGGGCACUCUUGAUCUUGAUUUUGAUACUUGGUGCGCCGAUCUAAACAAAGCGCAUCAGACCUCAAGAUGGCUUCUCUAGGAGACUAUAUAUGGCCUCUUGUGGCCACGCAAUGGACUUUUCAACAGAAGCCAUGUUUAAAACCUUGCCCUGCAGCGUGUGUUUGUUUACAUCUGAGGAUUUCCCAGGUCAAGCGAGGGAUGAUGUUUUCUAAUAAUUUGUGUGCAGCUAAUUAUAACUAAUCAUGCAUGAAAAUAAAUAAAUUGCAUAUAUAGUGAUAUAAUAUCUAGAUAUUUUAUUAUUUAGGAAAAUUUGGGUUUAGUUAUUUGCGUGAAUAAUAUAGUCUCUUAGUUCCUAGUGGUGUGCCCAGGCCUAGAGCUGGGGAGAAAACGGUCUGGCGCGUCCACUCAACUUUGCCCUGGGCUGGGCGAUUUAGCCAGGGCUG
rnacentral:lncRNA from 1 species